rnacentral:rRNA from 1 species
UACGUAGGGGGCAAGCGUUGUCCGGAAUCAUUGGGCGUAAAGAGCGUGUAGGCGGCCAGAAAAGUCCGCUGUGAAAACUCGAGGCUCAACUUCGAGCUGUCGGUGGAAACUUUCUGGCUAGAGUCCGGAAGAGGAGAAUGGAAUUCUUGGUGUAGCGGUGAAAUGCGCAGAUAUCAGGAAGAACACCCGUGGCGAAGGCGGUUCUCUGGGACGGUACUGACGCUGAGACGCGAAAGCGUGGGGAGCGAACAGG